UUUCCGUAGGUGAACCUGCGGAAGGAUCAUUCAUAAUAAAGUGUUUUAUGGCACUUUUUAAAAAUCCAUAUCCACCUUGUGUGCAAUGUUAGAUCUCGUCAAUCUUGGCGAGAUUUUUAUACAUCAACUCAUUCUUUAACUAAUUUGUCUGAAAAAUAUUAUGAAUACUUAAUUCAAAAUACAACUUUCAACAACGGAUCUCUUGGCUCUCGCAUCGAUGUAGAACGCAGC
rnacentral:misc_RNA from 1 species